rnacentral:lncRNA from 1 species
GAAUUGUAUGGUUGCUGCAAAGUCAUUACUAAGUGCUUGUCCCUGACCUCCAAGGCUAGAGAACUGAAUGGUUUCCCAGAGACUACAUUGAACUAGCUGUAGGUUUAUCCCAAUUUAUAAAAGGAUUUCACACAAAGGUUGAGUGCAGGAAUUGGUAUUAAUAUACCAAAGCACCUCUGGCUUUGAUUAGACCCUAGACUUAGCCCCUCACCCUUGUGGUAGACCUCUUGCAAAGGGUUUCCUAUCCCACAGCUUUACACUCGCCCCAGUGCAUAAAUGCUCAAGUACCUACAAUCUCACAACAAAGCCACUCCCCAUGUGCAGUGACUCAGGGUUGAGAGAGCUGACUACUACAGCUCUAGCAAGCGAUGACCAACUGCCUACCACAAAAAUAAAGAAAAGAAAAGCCUCAGCGAGCUCUGAAUAAGCUACGGAGUUUCCACUAUGUGCCUCCUGUCCUUCAGUAGUCCCAUCUACUCCAAACUCCCCAAACUCCCCACAGCCUCAAGCAGCGGUGUUUCAAAGGCUUGGCUUCUGGAUCCUACAAAAGCACUGCAACCUAAAUAGGAGGAUGGGCCACACUCAAAUGACUCAAACUCCCAGUCUGUUGCUCUAUUUCUGAGAGGGGAUGGUCUACACAGUUAGCAAUGGGGCUGGCUGGUAAAGGGAUGAUCGGAUGGUAGGCACACUGUGCUAAGGAUGAAUCUGGCCCUACUAGCAUAAUGUUUUAAUCACUCAGCCCAUUAGCACUAUGGAUAAUAAAGUGUGACAGACCUCAAGAGUGCAAAUGAUUUGCUCCUCUGCUGUCAUGCCCACAGAGUACCUUCUCCAAGGUCAUACAUUAGAUAAGUAUGGGCACAGGAACAUUCAUUCCUUACUCAAUGACCAUGCUCUCUCACUCCCACAUGCCACCAACAGAAGUGGGAAUGGGGUCUGACUCUGACCAAGGAAGAAUUGUUACCAGACCAAACAUGAGUCCCCUUCUUGGGAGUUAAACUACACCAGAAGUAGUUGUCACACAAAGCAGACAUUUUAUUUGUGGCAUGCAGCAAAGAAAAUGGAGACCAUAGAGAAUAAUUUCACAAAGCAAUGGCUCCCCCAGCACUGGGACGUGGGUACCUUUAUUUGGGAGAGGGAAUGACUAUUCAAAGGGGAAGUUUCAUCAUCACAUGUAGAAGUGGGCAUAAGCUUGGACACGUGGUUUGAAAUCAUGCUUUUACACACAUCACAGGAUCUAAAAGUGGCUGCUUUGCCCCUCCCAGAGGAGGAGAAUUCCAAACAUUAAGGAGGGCAGGUUAUUUUAGUACAACUCUGCCUGUCUGUGCAGGUGUCAGUCUUGUGGCUGUGGUCUGGGACAGUGUGGUCCUGUUCAGAGUGGUUGGAUCCAGGUCAGUUGUUGCUUAGAGCUUCUUCCUGGAACAUAGCUGAAACCACAUAAGCUCAAGACUCCAAAAGUCGUUAGAGAAAGAAACAUCUGCACCCUUCAGGAAGACAAAAGAAUUAUGUUGAACACAAAAGGUUACAGUUUAAGCAAGACAAGAGAAGCAGGUUAGAGUCCAUGGCUGGUGACAGAAUGGCAAGGCUUCCACAUAUCACAUUCUUAUGCUACAUCACAUGUCAUCUGUGGCUUAGGUGUCACAGAAAGACGAGGCUCGUAUAAACCCAGAAUUUUUCCUUUGGCAGCCAACAAUUGGUCACAUUGCAUGUUUCAAGGUUACAGAGGAUCCCCUCAGUACAAAUGUGGGGCCGUAGCAGACAAUUCUCGCUCAGAGCUUUAAAGCCAGAGCCAAGUGUUCCAUAAGUCGAUAAAACCAGGAAGGCAACCUCUGGAAGCGGGCACCCAAAGGACUCCAGAAAAACCUUUCAUUCUCUGGCUUUCUGGACUUUUCAUCCUGGGGCCUCUUUCUUGGGCAGCGAAAAGCCUCCCCUUCUGGACUGCAGGAGAGGGAUGUGCAGGUCCAUGGCUAAGAUGGGCGGGUGGGAAGACGAGGGGGAGAACAGUUCCUUUACCCCCCAGCAGAGGUAGGCUAUGGAAUGCAGAGGAUUCAAGAACACAGGAAAUGCUAUUUUCUUGGGGCUGGCUAAGGGCUGCUUCCCUUCCCUCCUCCCUCCAAUUAAAAACGAAAGCCCAUGAUGAUGGAGAUCGGGAGAAAGAAGACUUAAGUUGUGUCUCCGGGCUUGUCCUAGCAGAAGCCCUUCCUGGCCCGGUCCUCCCGCUGCUCGUGAAGGGCCUCACCCUGGGCUCUCCGGCACCAUCCUUGCUCUGGCUGCUUCUGUAGCGCGCCUGGCAGAAGGCAUCAAAGUCGAACACUGUGUAGUUGGCGUCGGGCGUGGCCUCACCACGGCCAGGGUCAGACGUGCGCUGCAGGGUGGCCCUGCCCAUCAUCACCAACGCCUGAGAUCGCACGUGAAGGGCCUGGCAGCCUCGGGGCUCCAGGAGUUGCGGUGCGGACGGCCGAGGAAACUCUGCCAACGUAGACCACCUGGGUUUGCGCCUGCGUGAGUGAGACGGGCAGCUGAGCAGCUCAGAGGGCGCCUGCGUGAAUGAGAGACGACGCUGAGCGGCUCACAGGGCGCCUGCGUGGGAGAGAGGAGACUCAGAGACGCUUACAGCGCGCCUGCGUGGGCGAGAGGGGCCACGGAACCUCUCACAGGGUGCCUGCGUGGAUGAGAGGAGCCUGCCAGCCGCUCACCUGGCACCUGUGUGGGCGAGAGGGGCAGUCCAGCUUCUCACAGGGCGCCUGUGCGAAGUACUGCCUUGCCGAGGAGUAAGUCCUGGCUCGUAGCCCCAGGCGCCCUCCGCGAUUUUGAGGAGCAUCCCAGCCUGCCACAACUUCCGCAGUAAUAGCCCGGGCCCCUAUUUAGUUCUUUAAAUAGCUCUACGAGGAAGGUAAUAUCUUCAGAUUUUACCGAGAACGAAACUGCAGCUCUGAGAAUUUAUGUAAGUUACCGAAGGUCAUAGGUCGUGGCGCUGCAACUUCAGCUCCGUGAUCCGAAGCCUGGGCCCAUCCUGUGGAUGCGGGAAAUGGGCGAAGGGAGGGGCUGUGGCUCUGGGAACUUUGAGUAGCAAGACUGUUUCUAGAAGGAUCUGGUGAAACAGAGGCUUCUGGCGUUCUACGUGUUUCUGUCAGGAGUGGCUGAAGACGUGGACAAGGCUGAGUUUUCAGAGUGGCCCUGAGCUAACAUCUGCCGCCAAUCCUCCUCUUUUUGCUGAGGGAGAGUGGCCCUGAGAUAACAUCUGUGCCCAUCUUCGUCUACUUUAUAUGUGGGAUGCCUGCCACAGAAUGACUUGAUGAGCAGGGCAUAGGUCUGCACCUGUGAUUGGAACCAGUGAACCAGGGCCACAAAAGCAGAGCACAUGAACUUAACCACUAUGCUGCUGGGCUGGCCCCAACAAAUAAUGGUUUUGGUAAAUGCUUUCAAAGAUGGCCACCAACACUUCCUCCUGACAAUUCCUCCCUUUCCUGGUGGGAGUGUGUGUAUGUCAAGAGGUGGAGUCUGUUUCCCUCCCCUUGCACCUGGCCUGGCCUUGGGAUUUGCUUUGACCAAUGUAAUGCUGUGGAGGUGACCUUCUGGACUUUGAGCCCUGGCCUGAAGCUCUCCGAAAACUUCUGCUUCACCCCUUGGGACCCAGCUGCUUUGUAAAGAAGCUUGGGCCAGACAGCCAAGAAUGUGAAGAGAGAGAGAGACCCAGCCAGCCCCUGGCUAUUCCGGCAGCAGCUGUAUGAGUGAAGGCAUUUUGGGCUUUCCACUUUCUGAUUGAGCUCUCAGAUGAAUGUAGCCGCAAAAGUGACCCAGCCAGUACCACGUGGAGCAGGAGAACCCUCCAUCUGAGCCCAGACAAGCAUUGUUGCAGGAAGACAAAUUAUGAGUGGAGUCUAGGCCUGCCCUCCGUUUCUGAUAAAGGUGGAUCAGGAAACCUCAAAUAAAAUUAUGAGCUAAAUUCAUCCAGAAUGGAAAGACAAAGUGCAUCAGCCUACAGUCUCUUUUGCCUCCAAUCCAUCCAAUAUACUGUCACCAACAUAAUCUUCCUGAAACACUGCUUUCACCAUGUCACUUUUCUGCUCAAGAAUUUACAGUCGUUUCCUAUUUCCUAUUGGAUCAAGUGGAAAUUCAUCUGCCAGGCUUUCAAGGACUCUCA